GGUUAUACAUGGAUAGCCACAGCAGAGAGCUGGUAUGUGUUUGCUUCUGCCUGCUUCUGUGGGAGCACUGACCUUGGACCUGUACAAUAUUCAGUGUCAGUGAAACAAGCAGAGCCAAACUCAGGAAGGCCAAAACUCCCCAGAUAGAAAAAUGGCAGUCCAUUCCUCAUUAAAACCAGUUACUUGUUCUUAUUCUCUUGCCUGAGAAACCAGAGAAAGUGAUGGUAAAGGAUAAGCAUCAGCUGGGAACCAGUGAAGCCCCACAUAUUACUGCAAGGAAAAGUUCAAACAGCUCCUGGAAAAUCACUUGGUAAAAGGUUAAACUUGGAGUAGCAUCCAGGUAGAACAUCUAUCUUAGAAAUUUCAGCAUCUUUUCCUACUGGAACAGUACAUUUGCAAGUACACAGCUUAUUCACUGGAGUCUAGGGUACAACUCAUGUCUUGGGCCACCCCUUCCCAGCCGUCAGCCAGGCCAAAAAUGUCUAGAUAAAAAGAGCCCUAUCUCAAGGAAUUCCCAGUUCCACAUGAACACAUGAAGUUUGUGGAAGACUCGCGGCGCUGUCUAUUCAGGCACAAAGAUGCUGCGCAGCAUGUGGAGGCUGUCAUGACUGCUGGUCAAGUGGCUGAGGACAUCCAAGAGCAAACCUGCUUGGAAAACAGUCAUGUGGAGUAAAGUCUGUGGCAGGGUCUCUGCAGGAUGGCUCCACUG